rnacentral:rRNA from 1 species
AUUGAACGCUGGCGGCAGGCCUAACACAUGCAAGUCGAGCGGGAACUUCGGUUCUAGCGGCGGACGGGUGAGUAAUGCGUAGGAAGCUACCCAACAGAGGGGGAUACCAGUUGGAAACGACUGUUAAUACCGCAUAAUGUCUACGGACCAAAGUGUGGGACCUUCGGGCCACAUGCUGUCGGAUGCGCCUACGUGGGAUUAGCUAGUUGGUGAGGUAAUGGCUCACCAAGGCGACGAUCCCUAGCUGGUUUGAGAGGAUGAUCAGCCACACUGGAACUGAGACACGGUCCAGACUCCUACGGGAGGCAGCAGUGGGGAAUAUUGGACAAUGGGCGAAAGCCUGAUCCAGCCAUGCCGCGUGUGUGAAGAAGGCCUUCGGGUUGUAAAGCACUUUCAGUAGGGAGGAAGAGUUGAGUGUUAAUAGUACUCAGCUUUGACGUUACCUACAGAAGAAGCACCGGCUAACUCUGUGCCAGCAGCAGCCGCAGUA